rnacentral:rRNA from 1 species
UACGUAGGGGGCAAGCGUUGUCCGGAAUCAUUGGGCGUAAAGAGCGUGUAGGCGGUCCGGUAAGUCGGCUGUGAAAGUCCAGGGCUCAACCCUGGGAUGCCGGUCGAUACUGCCGGACUAGAGUUCGGAAGAGGCGAGUGGAAUUCCCGGUGUAGCGGUGAAAUGCGCAGAUAUCGGGAGGAACACCUAUGGCGAAGGCAGCUCGCUGGGACGUAACUGACGCUGAGACGCGAAAGCGUGGGGAGCAAACAGG